GAUCAUGGCUCAGGAUGGACGCUGGCGGCGUGCCUAACACAUGCAAGUCGAGCGAGGAAUGUCGGAUAGCUUGCUAUUUGAUAUUUCUAGCGGCGGACGGGUGAGUAACGCGUGAGCAACCUGCCUUUAUCAGGGGGAUAACGCAUCGAAAGAUGUGCUAAUACCGCGUAAGACCACAGCCUCACAUGGGGCAGGGGUCAAAGGAGCAAUCCGGAUAAAGAUGGGCUCGCGUCCGAUUAGCUAGUUGGUGAGAUAACAGCCCACCAAGGCGACGAUCGGUAGCCGACCUGAGAGGGUGAUCGGCCACAUUGGAACUGAGAGACGGUCCAGACUCCUACGGGAGGCAGCAGUGGGGAAUAUUGGGCAAUGGGCGAAAGCCUGACCCAGCAACGCCGCGUGAGGGAAGAAGGGUUUCGGCUCGUAAACCUCUGUCCUAUGGGACGAAGGAAGUGACGGUACCAUAGGAGGAAGCCCCGGCUAACUACGUG
rnacentral:rRNA from 1 species